CCUGUGAUGGCCGAGUGGUUAAGGAGUUGGAUUUGAAAUCAAUUGGUUUCCCGGGCAGGUUCGAACCCUGCUCUUAGUG
rnacentral:tRNA from 1 species